rnacentral:rRNA from 1 species
AACUAACAUUGGCGGCAGGCCUAACACAUGCAAGUCGAGCGAUGAAGCUCCUUCGGGAGUGGAUUAGCGGCGGACGGGUGAGUAACACGUGGGCAACCUGCCUUAUAGAGAGGAAUAGCCAUCCGAAAGGAUGAUUAAUACCUCAUAAUAUUGUAGCUUCGCAUGGAGCAACAAUCAAAGGAGCAAUCCACUAUAAGAUGGGCCCGCGGCGCAUUAGCUAGUUGGCGAGGUAACGGCUCACCAAGGCGACGAUGCGUAGCCGACCUGAGAGGGGGAUCGGCCACAUUGGGACUGAGACACGGCCCAGACUCCUACGGGAGGCAGCAGUGGGGAAUAUUGCACAAUGGGGGAAACCCUGAUGCAGCAACGCCGCGUGAGUGAUGACGGCCUUCGGGUUGUAAAGCUCUGUCUUCAGGGACGAUAAUGACGGUACCUGAGGAGGAAGCCACGGCUAACUACGUGCCAGCCGCCGCAGUAA